UACGGAGGGUGCGAGCGUUGUCCGGAAUCAUUGGGCGUAAAGGGCGCGUAGGUGGCCCGGUCAGUCUUUGGUGAAAGCGCGGGGCUCAACCCUGCGUCGGCCAGGGAUACUGCCGCGGCUCGAGCACUGUAGAGGCAGGCGGAAUUCCGGGUGUAGCGGUGGAAUGCGUAGAGAUCCGGAAGAACACCAGUGGCGAAGGCGGUUCUCUGGGCCUGUACUGACGCUGAGGAGCGAAAGCGUGGGGAGCGAACAGG
rnacentral:rRNA from 1 species